CUUGUACACACCGCCCGUCACACCAUGGGAGUUGGCUGCAAAAGAAGUAGGUAGACUAACCUUCGGGAGGUCGCUUACCACUUUGUGGUCAAUGACUGGGGUGAAGUCGUAACAAGGUAGCCCUAGGGGAACCUGGGGCUGGAUCACCUCCUU
rnacentral:rRNA from 13 species